GCUCAGCUCAUAGAGAAUAGCAUAGCACGUGCUUUGCUCGACCCAUAGAGAUUAGCACAGUCAAAUGCUUAUAUCAAUAUUGUUCAGCUCAAUACGAGUGAAGUUCUAGGUAGCUCAACUUUAGCAUAAUUGAGGCAUCAUAAUAGUCAUCUCAAUACUAUCUCCCUAUUUCUGAGUUUGAGACAAUGCUUCAGACGGAAGGAAUACUGUUGAGAUGAUUAUUCUGGCGUAUGUUGUCUUUUUUUUCCUCUAGUGCUCGAUUAGCUAUUUCUCAUGAGUGGUAUUGUGUACCUGCUG
rnacentral:lncRNA from 1 species